CCUACGUGAGGCAGCAGUGGGGAAUAUUGCGCAAUGGGCGAAAGCCUGACGCAGCGACGCCGCGUGAGGGAUGAAGGUCUUCGGAUCGUAAAACUCUGUUAGUAGGGAAGAACGGUCACUGUGCUAAUCAGCAGUGAAUUGACGGUACCUGCAAAGGAAGCACCGGCUAACUACGUGCCAGCAGCCGCGGUAAUACGGAGGGUGCGAGCGUUAAUCGGAAUUAUUGGGCGUAAAGCGCUCGUAGGCGGUAUGUCAAGUCUAGUGUGAAAUCCCCGCGCUUAACGUGGGAACUGCCUUUGAAACUGGCAAACUGGAGUGUGGGAGAGGAUAGUGGAAUUCCAGGUGUAGCGGUGAAAUGCGUAGAUAUCUGGAAGAACAUCAGUGGCGAAGGCGACUAUCUGGCACAUAACUGACGCUGAGGAGCGAAAGCGUGGGUAGCAAACAGGAUUAGAUACCCGGGUAGUC
rnacentral:rRNA from 1 species